GAUGAACGCUGGCGGCGUGCCUAAUACAUGCAAGUCGAGCGAACAGAUGAGGAGCUUGCUCCUCUGACGUUAGCGGCGGACGGGUGAGUAACACGUGGAUAACCUACCUAUAAGACUGGGAUAACUUCGGGAAACCGGAGCUAAUACCGGAUAAUAUAUUGAACCGCAUGGUUCAAUAGUGAAAGACGGUUUUGCUGUCACUUAUAGAUGGAUCCGCGCCGCAUUAGCUAGUUGGUAAGGUAACGACUUACCAAGGCGACGAUGCGUAGCCGACCUGAGAGGGUGAUCGGCCACACUGGAACUGAGACACGGUCCAGACUCCUACGGGAGGCAGCAGUAGGGAAUCUUCCGCAAUGGGCGAAAGCCUGACGGAGCAACGCCGCGUGAGUGAUGAAGGUCUUCGGAUCGUAAAACUCUGUUAUUAGGGAAGAACAAAUGUGUAAGUAACUAUGCACGUCUUGACGGUACCUAAUCAGAAAGCCACGGCUAACUACGUG
rnacentral:rRNA from 1 species